UGGAAACCUCCAGUGAAAGAGAACCCACCAUUGCAUGAGGCAGACUGUUCCAUUGUUCAACAGCCCUUACAGCCAGGCAGUUCUUCUGAAUGUUUAGCCUGAAUCUAGUUCCUUGUCUUUUCAACCCAGCUGAAACUGAACUUGACUAUCCUGGGGGUGUCAUAAUACCCUGAUUAGGGUAUUGUUUCAGAAAAGAGAGCCAGCGUGGUGUAGUGGUUAGAGUGCUGGACUAGGACUGGGGAGACCCGAGUUCAAAUCCCCAUUCAGCCAUGAGACCUGCUGGGUGACUCUGGGCCAGUCACUUCUCUCUCAGCCUAACCUACUUCACAGGGUUGUUGUGAGGAGAAACCUAAGUAUGCAGUUCACCGUUCUGGGCUCCUUGGAGGAAGAGCGGGAUAUAAAUGUAAAAACAAAAAACAAAAACGUAUCUCUCUGCCACAGUGAGGACUAGAAACUUACCUCAUGACACCUUUCUUUCAACCAGCAGCCAAAAGAGCUGUCCACCUCAGGAUCCCAGUGCAAAGUUCUCUUUGUAUAGUUUACGGAUUAUCUAUUGAAGAGUUGUUGGGAAAUGUAUUAGGGAUAUUUCAAAGGCUUGUUCUGUGGCCUAGAAUAUCCUGCAAUUGUUUUUGAAUUGAAGGCCCAGCUGCACCCUCCCUGCCCUGAUUCCACCUUCCCAGCCUGGCCAGCCUGAGGAGAAUGGCUAGAAAUGGGGCUACCAGGUUUUCACCCCGAGGUGGUGCUUAUUGAUUUAUAUAAACCAAAGUGGUCACGUAUUCAAAUACAGAGAGACAGUAUACUCCUCUAGGUUCCUCUCUCUCUCUCUCUCUUUUUUUUGUUUUUAAAUGCCCCAGCUUGAUUUUGGACUGAGAAAUGGGCAGAAAUGGCUCCCAGGCCUGCUCCUUGGCAGUGGUGCUGAGGGGGUCGCCAUGGCCAUCUGGGCUACCAGACCCCCAGGAUUGGCCAGGAGUCUCCCAGAAUCAGCUCCAGCCUCCCGGUGAGGACUGAAAGCAGUCUUGGAGGUGUUAAUGGUCUGACACUAAGAAAGAAAGCAAAACCAUGAAGGGAAAAUAUCUCCAGGAAGAGCUUCACUCAGAGUUGGCAAUCCUGCUUUUAUACUAACUGAGAGGAUUGAAUUAUGAGGCUAUGAAUGAGGCCGGGAUGGGCCUCCAAGAGGCUUGAGGACUGUGGGAGAAAUAUACUCACUCGAUGUGUUUAAUUUGAGGGAUUCACACACUGUAUUGUCACUUACUUGAUAAACUUAUUGUUGUACCAUGAGGGCUGGAAACCUAUUUCAUAAAAUAUAGCUAAAAAGGAGGGAAAAAUCCUGUCAGAAUCCCAGUGCAGCCUCCUCCAUCACACUAUAUAGGAAGGACGAUUGAACACCUUUUGGAAGAUUAACCAGCUUUUAAAAACGUGUUUUAAGGCCUACAAAAUUUGCUGGCUGGGUUUAGGGCUGCAGCCUUUCACUCUUGUUUAUAUCCUGCCUUUCUACAACAGAAUUGUGCUCAAGGCAGGCUGUGCAGACUGCAUCCUCCUCUGCAGGAGGGCGAGCAAAGUUGCCUCACCAGACAACACAGAUGCACCUGAUCUCAAGAAAAGAAGCUGGACCAUCUGGGGGAGGAAGAGCACCACAGCAAGGGAGCAUGGAGCCAUGGGGGGGGGGGGGGGCACAGCCAAAAGACUCAACAGGCGGGCCCCAGCCAUCCAGACCUGAUGAGAGAGAAGAUGCUGUGCAAGUUGAACGAGACAUUCUUCCAAUCAGCAGGAUUGCUGACCCGGCAUGUGAUGGUGGAGUCUGAGGAGCUGGCUUGCCAGAACAAGUGGAGAUCCCUACCAUGACUGGAGAUCUGGUACCGGACUGAACCAUCUUCUGAAUCCUGGAGGGUGUUCCCGCUUUCCCAGGGUUUGCUAACAGAUGACCAAACCUCAGGAAUGCACACAGCUUCCAAAGCUGGGUACGACAUUUGUCCUGCUCCAUUAUCGGCCCUGUGAACAGCCUCAGAAGUGCCCCAGCCACGUGACUUAUGGGCUAGUCGAUUAUCAGCUUGCAAGUUGUAUCCAGUGGCAAAAAGAUUGCUUACUAUUUUAUUCCUAUCACUCCUUCUGGUGCCAAAGCCAUUUACAACAGUGAAAACAGAAAGGUGUCCAAGUAUGAAAUUCUCCAGGAGGGAUAAUGAGAUUGGGAAAUCUGUCAGGCUUGGCACAAAUAAUUUCCAUGGACUUUUUCCUUUCUAUGUUCCUUUCCCAACAACAGUGAUACCUCAGACUCUGUAAAACAAUUUUGCAUAUGUAUGUACUUCUAUAUUUUUGAUACCUUGAAAUACAAUUCACAUUCUUGAGUUCAAAGCAAAAACCACUGCUGUAGGAAACUGUUCAGCCUAAAUAGCUAUAUUACCUAAAGACUAUUUCGUUGAAAUGCCUGAUAUAAGAGACUUUUUAAUCUAAAGAGACUUUUUAAUUUAAUCUAGAAGGCGAGACCCUUCUAACAGAUUUCCACUGUCAUUGUUCUCAACAGUUUUUUUUAACAUCCACUAAUCAGAUUAAUAAUCCCAAAACCACAUUAUGCCCAGCAGGAAAAGGUGCAUGCCUUCAUCUCCUGAUUGGGGCUUCUCAGAGGCAUCUGAUGGGCCACAGGAUGACGGACUAGAAAAGCCUUGGGCCUGAUCCUGCAGGGCUAUUCUUAUCUUCUUAUGUAGGGUGCAGAUGAGAGCUUUAAUUUAAAAGGAACCCAUUUUAUUUGAAAAUACUGUACUGCCUCUGGGUAAUUUAGGAGUUUCCUGCCAUGCAUAUCUGGAUUGUCCUUUGGACUAGAAACUCUUGGCUUCAGCAAGAACAUAAGAACAGCCCUGCUGGAUCAGGCCCAAGAACGCCCAUCUAGUCCAGCAUCCUGUUUCACACAGUGGCCCACCAGAUGCUGCUGGGAGCCUACAGGCAGGAGUUGAGGGCAUGUCCUCUCUCCUGCUGUUACUCCCCUGCAACUGGUACUCAGAGGCAUCCUGCCUUUGAGGCUGGAGGUGGCCUAUAGCCCUCCGACCAGUAGCCAUUGAUAGACCUCUCCUCCAUGAAGUUAUCCAAACCCCUCUUCAAGCCAUCCAGGUUGUUGGCUGUCACCACAUCUUGUGGCAGAGAAUUCCACAAGUUGAUUAUACGUUGUGUGAAAAAGUACCUCCAUUUGCUGGCCCUAAAUUUCCUAGCAAUCAGUUUCAUGGGAUGAGCCCUGGUUCUAGUGUUAUGUGAGAGGGAGAAGAAUUUGGGACUCCUUCAGAGCUCUGACCUGUGGUCAGGCAUUAUUAGCUUGCUAUCAUGCCUAAAAACACUUUCGCUUUUGUGCUAUUGUGGUUUGGGGAAAAGCACAAGGAAGGGUGUCACCUCCAUUUGGGCAGAUGCUGAGCAAGUUGAAGGAGACCUUCUUCUGAUCAACAGGGUUGCUGACUAGGCAGGUGAAGUUGGAGUCUGAAGGGCUGGGAUGCCAGAACAAGUAGAGAUUGCUACCAUUCUCAGAGAGCUGAGACCGGUCUGACACAUCUUCGAGGCCCCUGAGUGGAUUCCCUCUCCUCCAGGAGACAUUAAACCUCCCCUUUCCAAAUGCCUGACACUGCAGGGUCACGUUGCAUCUGUCUGCAUCACGGGAGAUUAGAUGGUGGGAUAUCCGUACAUCUUGCACUAGUUCUAUCAAAAACAAAGGGGGAAAACAAUGAACGUUGUGUCCCUGGGCUGUCAGUAGCAGGAAAAGUCGUGGCAGUUUGAUUCCAUGUUCCGUUUGAGCAAAUCAUACAACAAUUGUUUACCAUAGAUCUCGAGGCUGAAAGUGUGGUCUUCGACCUCUGCGGUAUCCAGUCUCACGCGGGCUGUAUACACGCCAUGGUCCUCCAUUGCCAGGUCCAAGAUCCUCAGCGUGGUCUCAUUGGCCAUUUCCAGUCGCUUCCCAAACUGGUCACUGAGCUUAGUCUGCUUCAGGUUUCCAUCUCUGAACAUAGCAAUUCGGAACGUACGGUUCUUCUUGGUUUCAAAUGCCCAUUCUAUUUCAGCCACUGUUUUGGCUGAAGAUAUACCUACAUGAAGUAAGACUGAUCCUCCUAGGAUCCCAGCCACUUCCUGGUGGGCAAGCUUCUCCGCUGAACUACCCCCAGUGCCUGUUAUAUUUUUAAAAAAUAAGGGAGGGGUGACAUAAACAGAAGGAGAAAAAAGAUAUAUGCUUACUUUCCAUCCAUGACAAGUCUGAAAAUGCCAGGAAAUUAAGGAUGCAUGGCUCUGAAUGCAUGGCUUCUCCCUGGAAGCUUGUAGAUACGAUGACUGCUUUUCCCGCUCCAGGUUCAUAACUUUAAUAAUUUUAAGAACUUGUUUUAAUAACUAUUUUAUUAUGUUGUUUUUAUUGUCAUGUAUUUUAAUCUGUGACUUCAAUAUUUUAAAUUUUGUACACCACCUAGAGAUGUACAUAUCAAACGGUACAGAAAUAUGAUAAAUAAUCAAACAAAUAAAUUUUGAA